rnacentral:misc_RNA from 1 species
AAGACUAUAGACCUGCGGAGUACCUGCGGAAGGAUCAUUACCGAGUUUACAACUCCCAAACCCAUGUGAACAUACCUAUCGUUGCUUCGGCGGGAUCGCCCCGGGCGCCUUGUGUGCCCCGGAUCCAGGCACCCGCCGGGGGACCUUAACUCUUGUUUUAUUUAGAAUCUUCUGAGUAGUUUUUACAAAUAAAUAAAAACUUUCAGCAAUGGAUCUCU